CCUAAUCCUGCAAGAGUUGGGAUCAAAUAUAACCACUCACAACAAGUUAAUGAUUAACCUUCCUACCGGAGGAACUCUUAAAAAGGUCCAUAAGCAUAAAGAAAAAUGAACCCCAUAACUCACUAUGUACACUUUAAGGGACCUUACAAUAAAAUUAGUCAUGGAUUGAGGUGUUUUAAGGAUUAGUCAACCAUUGAUGGUCUAAGGAGAACAAUACGACUCAAUUAAGGAUAAUUUAAAAUCUCAUGUCACCCAAAAAGAGAGAGGGAAGACUUGAAAAUCACAACACUCUAUAGAAUCCAUAAAGUAACAUUCGAAAGCCAAGAAACUACCACCGAACCCU
rnacentral:lncRNA from 1 species